CCUACGGGUGGCAGCAGUGGGGAAUAUUGGACAAUGGGCGAAAGCCUGAUCCAGCCAUGCCGCGUGUGUGAAGAAGGCCUUCGGGUUGUAAAGCACUUUCAGUGGGGAAGAAAGCCUUGGGGCUAAUACCCUCGAGGAAGGACAUCACCCACAGAAGAAGCACCGGCUAACUCCGUGCCAGCAGCCGCGGUAAUACGGAGGGUGCGAGCGUUAAUCGGAAUUACUGGGCGUAAAGCGCGCGUAGGCGGUCUGAUAAGCCGGUUGUGAAAGCCCCGGGCUCAACCUGGGAACGGCAUCCUGAACUGUCAGGCUAGAGUGCAGGUGAGGAAGGUAGAAUUCCCGGUGUAGCGGUGAAAUGCGUAGAGAUCGGGAGGAAUACCAGUGGCGAAGGCGGCCUUCUGGACUGACACUGACGCUGAGGUGCGAAAGCGUGGGUAGCAAACAGGAUUAGAUACCCGAGUAGUC
rnacentral:rRNA from 1 species